rnacentral:rRNA from 1 species
UACGUAGGGGGGCAAGCGUUGUCCGGAUUUAUUGGGCGUAAAGAGCGUGUAGGCGGCUAGAUAGGUCCGUUGUGAAAACUCGAGGCUCAACCUCGAGACGUCGAUGGAAACCAUCUGGCUAGAGUCCGGAAGAGGAGAGUGGAAUUCCUGGUGUAGCGGUGAAAUGCGCAGAUAUCAGGAGGAACACCAAUGGCGAAGGCAGCUCUCUGGGACGGUACUGACGCUGAGACGCGAAAGCGUGGGGAGCGAACAGG